GCGGGGCGCAGGCGCCAAGCGGCGCUGGGCGCGUUGCGCUGCAGUGCUGCUGCUUGGCUCCUUACACCUCCCUGAGCCGGCCAUGAGGUGUUUUCAGGAGAUUUGGCCAUGUUUUCACAAAAAACAAGGCUCCCCAGGGUCUGCGCCUGAGGGGUGAGGCCGGUGGACGGGCCUCCCGCGUGGUCCUGUGGCCUCCACCUCCACCGCCUCAGCCCAGCCAGCAUCUGGGGAGGCUUCUCCCGUGCCGAGCCCCAGCAGCGGCCCUCAGGUGCUAGCAAGCGGGUGCCCGGCCGGCCCGGAGCACAAGGAGGUCUUUAUGAGCUGCCCGUGGGCUGUGCACAGGGGCGGCUUUGUGUUAGGGGCGCCAGCCCGGCGCGGCUGGAGGCUGCUGCCCUCGCCCGUUGUCCCCACAGGCCCUCACCACCUCCUUGACCGCCGGCCGCGGCCCUCACCCCGCAGAGGACGGCUGCAGGGGGUGCAGAGCCUGGCACCGCUUCUGCCUUCACCACCCAUCGCCUUCCCCAUGGCAGCAGGUUACAAGGCGCAAGGAGCCAGACCUGCAUGGCAUGUGCGGUCUGCAUGCUCUGCCAUGUCCUGUCGCGUGCUGGCGCGCUGCGGUGGCGGAGGUAAGGAGGGCUGGCACAGCCUGGUCCCCUUGCAAUGCACAUCUCCUGCUGUAACCCCCAUCAUGGCCUCUGGGGUUUUCCUUGCAGCCUUAGCAAUGAGCACGAUGCCUUCUGCAGUUGCUUUGCCCAGCAGCCAUGAGCAAGCAUUGUGGGAGAGGGAUUGGAGAAUGUCAUAGAAUAUCCCGAGUUGGAAUGGAUGCGCAAGGAUCACCGAAUCCAACUCCUUGGGAUCAGAACUCAUAUGGGGACACAAAGGCUGUGACCUUGAAGAUGUGCUUGCCCAGCAGCACCUUGCGGGAGAACUCGCUCAUCUCCAGCUCCACCUCCAACGUGGCUGGCCCCACCA